rnacentral:rRNA from 1 species
AUUAAACGCUGGCGGCAUGCCUUACACAUGCAAGUCGAACGGCAGCACGGGGGCAACCCUGGUGGCGAGUGGCGGACGGGUGAGUAAAGCAUCGGAACGUAUCCUGGAGUGGGGGAUAACGUAGCGAAAGUUACGCUAAUACCGCAUAUUCUGUGAGCAGGAAAGCAGGGGAUCGCAAGACCUUGCGCUCUGGGAGCGGCCGAUGUCGGAUUAGCUAGUUGGUGGGGUAAAGGCCUACCAAGGCGACGAUCCGUAGCGGGUCUGAGAGGAUGAUCCGCCACACUGGGACUGAGACACGGCCCAGACUCCUACGGGAGGCAGCAGUGGGGGAAUUUUGGACAAUGGGCGGAAGCCUGAUCCAGCCAUGCCGCGUGAGUGAAGAAGGCCUUCGGUUGUAAG